rnacentral:lncRNA from 1 species
AUUGUUUCCGGGCACCCCUGGCCUCUCCCGACUUCUCCCCCUCGCGGGUCCCCAAGCCCCGCAAGUUUGCGACGAGCUGGUUCUCCAGGGAGACAGCGAGCGCCCACCCCCGCUCUGCGGCUGGGUGUGUGUGGUGAGAGGAAGAGACGGGAGGAGGAGGCGAGGCCGACUCGCCAACGAGGAAAACGGGGAGCACCAUGCAAAGUGCGGAGAUGCAGAGAGGAAAGACUACUCGGUCCUUGUUCCUUGCUGUCCCAGAGGUCACAGUGCUGUGGGGAGGGGGACAAGGACAUACCCUGUCAGGCUGCGUAUAUAAAUACACAGGUGCUAAGCAAAAUGGGAACGGAGAAGGGAAAGGUUCCCUCCACCUUGAGAGACCCACAGAAGGGUGUUCUAGAGAUGGAUGAGUCAGACUGCAAGAGAGCAAAGAUAUCUUCCUGAAUACAUUCAAUAUCAAAGCAUCAUGUGCCCUGUGUGUGCAAAAUAAUAAUAAUCAUAAUAAUAAAGUAAAAUAAAAGAUU